UUACAGGCCUCUGAUAGCAGAUGCUCCACUUCUUUUCCUCUCUUCGUUCAGUUUAAUGUCCAAGUCCCGGAGCUGGCUGAGGAACCCCGAAUUUGGGCAGAUGUUUCUGUGAGCACUCACUGUCUUCAGAGCAUCCACAAGUGUCAUGUUUUCAUGGAUCAUUAAAAAGGCAAGCACUAAAGUUGCUGAGCGGCUCACUCCCAUGGCACAGUGAACGAAUACCUUACCUGCACAAACAAAAGGCACAGCAAGGUCAGCGGGCAGCGCUGCGACUAGUGAAACGCUGUGAUUUUUCCUGCUGCCACAAGAUGGCAGGAAAAAACAAUGUUGGAGAAUUUAAAAAUACACAGCGAUGGGCAUCGCAGAACGGAAUACACUCCUGACCGGCAUUUAAAGAGAGAACUUACAAGAAACUGCACUGGAUGGAAGAAAAAUGGGAAGUAUACUUAAUUAAUUAGAUUGGUAUUGACCUGGGUGUACACCUCAAAAGAUCUACACUGUAUCCUUUCCUAUGCAGGUUUUGUGUAUAAGAAAAGCCUGUGACAGUGCUCAUUUUUUCCUGUACACUGUGCAGUUUGGCCUGGUUUUGUUCUGCUGGCAAAAUCUGUCAUACAAACCAGUCCAAGAUAUAAUGCACUCACCUAAAGUAAAAAGCAGGGUGAUUAUUUUAGUCUUUUAUGCUGUCUUCUUCCAAAUGUGUUAUCUUCCCCAUUCCCUGUUCCUCUAGCCAUAGUAGAAAAAGAGCCCAGCUAGAGGACACUGCUGUGGCUUUUGGGAACAGUGGGAGACACGAGGGACAGCAGCUGGGCAGGAGGGCACACCUGGGUGCCAACAGGAUGUGGCACUGGGUUGCUGGGCUGGGGACUGGGGUCAAACCAGUGGGGUCAAACCUCCUGCCUGUUCUCCUGGGAAAACUGGCCCCUCAAUGCAAUGGGUGCCACUGGAGCUGCUGGGGCUUUGGAAGGGGGCUGCAAGGGAGGAGUCUGUGCUGUUCAUGCUCUCUCCCCAGCUGCUUUCACUUCAAAUACUUUUCUUAAAGGAAAUAAACCCUCUACAAGAACAGAAAUUGGUUUGGAAAGUACAACCAGACUGGCUGGGAGUUUUGAGUUAUAAAGAGGCAUUCCUCCUCAGCAGCCAGUGUGGUGGCUCCCCUCCAUUCUUCUAACAGAUAAAAGAAAGCUGUGGAAAACUCACAAAGAUCAUUGUGCACCAGGAGCUCAUUAACUGGAAGAAGUUAAUUGUGAAUGGUAGCACUGUGCAGACCCUGUGGGUCCCGGCCCUGGCCCUGGCCCUGCCACACCACUGCUCGCAGCAUGGCCUGGCCUGGCGUGGCCUGGCCUGGCCUGGCCUGACCCGGCCUGGCCUCCCCUCACUGAGGCAGGGAGGACGUUCAUCAGUGCCUUUGCAGUUUGUCUGCUUGGUUCUGCAGUUAGCAGCUUCAUUUUGUGAGGAAAACAAGUGAUGGAAGGUCUGCAGCUGCUGACAAUACCACAACAACACUGCCAGCAUCCAGGAGCCUUCUUUCCCCUUUGGCUGCCCACCUCUGAGUUAUGGAGUCCCACCUGCUAUUUAAAGGUAGAUCAAGCCUUCCUUGAAAUAAAUAGUUUAAACUGAGCACAAAAUUACUUUGAAUUUAGCUCAUGCAGGACACACUACAACCUGGGUCCUUUUGCCAGGCUUUCAGCAACUGAUCAACUAGGUCAGAACAGCUCCAGGAUAUGCUUAAUCCUGCUCUGGAUGUGAGGUGAGCAAGACUUUACAGAUUGAGGUGUUAGUAGAUAUGUGUGUAUGGGGAAAAAAACACUCUGUAGACAACUGCUCCCCUUCAGUGCUUGAAAGGAAAAUUCUCCCCUUUCAGCACUAAAGCAUUGACUGCAAGUGUCAGUUUGUUAUCUUUUGUAAAGAAAGCAAUACUGAGAAACAAUUCACCACAAAGCAAAGGCUGUCCAGGAAUUUGAAACCACUGGAUAGAAGGGAUUUUCUAUUCUACUGGGUUAAGGGAUUUUCUAUUUUAUUCUACCAGGUAAAAACUCUAUCUGAGUUUUUAAUUUUUGUUCUGUUGAUCAGGGUGUGUAUGCCUGAGAGAGAACAAACACAUGUGCAUGCCAGCUCCAAAGGGAGGAACCCCAAGCACAGGUGACAUAAUCUCACUCGUGGUGCUGGAUCUGGUCUUGGGAGGGCUACACUGACCUCUGCUCUUCUCCUGCCACUUUUCACAAUUGCCACAAGCAAGGGCUGAGACUGGAUGGGUCAGUCUUAACCCAAAAGAUCUAAUCUGAUUCAAAAUGGAAGGGCCCAUAGCUCCAUGAGCUUAAUUGGGCCUUUCUCUUUGUUUCUGAGACUGUCAGGCACAGGAAGGUGGCUGCUGACUGUUGGAACAGAAAAAUGUGUCACAGAGCUGAGGUGCUUUUCUUAUCCUGACUUACUCGAUGUCUGUCCCACCUCCUUCUUCCAUAAAGAUGUCUGUCAUGCCUGUCCCAUUUUCUGCCUUUCUAGGGUCAUAUAUAAUAGUGAUUACCAAGUAACUUCAUCUCAUCCCUCUAUUAGCUUAACCAUUCCCAUGAUGGAUCACAGAAUGGGUGACAACAGGCAAAAUCUCUGUCAUUAAAAACUCAAAGUCCCUCUGCUCUUAGAGGUGCUGGCAUGGUGACAGAGCUCCCCUUGCACACAGGUAGCCUUGCCUUCUGCCUGGUUACAUCUCCUCCAGGCAGGAUGGUGCAUCCUGACUUUACAGCUGCUCUGUGUGGCUGCACACGCUUUCACAGCGGGAUCUAUCAGCACCAACCACCCUCCUUGCAGGGAUCUGAGAGUGCUGCCUUUUGGCAUGGGAAUGAGCCUGCUGUCCCCAGAGAACAUAAAGACAAAAUCCUGGCCAAAGAGGGAAUCAUGAGAACAGAGCUAAGGUUGUGACUUUGUAAAUGUUUAUCUUCAGUCUGUAUUUGAUGUCUGGGUAAUAAGGUGACCAGUCUCUUACAGAAACGUGAGGCAGGUUAAACAACAGAGGGGCACACAGUGGUUUUCUUGAGCUGCAGCACAGAGCAUGUGCAAGGCCUUACCAUUCCCCACUUGCCACCUCUGUGGCUGAUGGAUGCUUUCAUGCAGUGUCUCUUCCUAAGCCUUUCAGAUCUGAUCUUUUGGUCAAGAAACCGUCUGUGAAAACAAGAAUGGAAAAAAAGAAAAUUAUCAAAAACAGAUUUUUACACGGGGAAGAGAUGUUUCAAAUAAUUCGCAGGUCCAUAAAGCUGAGACAGACCUGGGCAGAGGGCAUGGCAAGAAAAAGUUACCUCUGGAAAGUCCUCAGCCAUUGAGCAUCUAUUGUCACCAGGAAGAUACAUUCCAAUGAUUACUAGUACACCAUGUGUGAUCCUUGCCACUGAUGGGGAUAUGGUUUUGUUGGUCACUCCUAAUCUCUCAGGAUCCUGCUGUUUUCCCACGUGCCAAUGAAGACAAUGUCUAACAAGGAUCUCAAGGCCACUUUCUCUGAAAAGGCAGUGUCAUGAACUUCAUGGAUACACUGGCACCUCCUUUUUAUUUCAACUGAAACUACAACUUGGGACUUGUUUUGGACCUCAUAGUAAUUACAUCAUCAACAAAACAAAUCCUGACUGUUACUCAAACAGUUGCAAGGGGCCGGCAGCUGGCACCCCCGACAGCUGGUAUCCAAAAUAAAUUUCUUUCUGGA